rnacentral:rRNA from 1 species
UACAGAGGUCUCAAGCGUUGUUCGGAUUCAUUGGGCGUAAAGGGUGCGUAGGCGGCGCGGUAAGUCGGGUGUGAAAUCUUGGAGCUUAACUCCGAAACUGCAUUCGAUACUGCCGUGCUUGAGGACUGGAGAGGAGACUGGAAUUUACGGUGUAGCGGUGAAAUGCGUAGAUAUCGUAAGGAAGACCAGUGGCGAAGGCGGGUCUCUGGACAGUUCCUGACGUGAGGCACGAAGGCCAGGGGAGCAAACGGGG